rnacentral:rRNA from 1 species
UACGGAGGAUCCGAGCGUUAUCCGGAUUUAUUGGGUUUAAAGGGUGCGCAGGCGGGGGAUUAAGUCGGCGGUGAAAUUUUGCAGCUCAACUGUAAAAGUGCCUUCGAAACUGGUUUCCUUGAGUGUAGAUGAAGUAGGCGGAAUUUGUGGUGUAGCGGUGAAAUGCUUAGAUAUCACGAGGAACUCCGAUUGCGCAGGCAGCUUACUAAACUACUACUGACGCUCAGGCACGAAAGCGUGGGGAGCAAACAGGAUUAGAUACCCGCGUAGUCCCUGA